UACAGAGGGUGCGAGCGUUGUCCGGAGUUAUUGGGCGUAAAGCGCGCGCAGGCGGCUUGGCGCGCCCGACGUGAAAGCCCCCGGCUUAACCGGGGAGGGUCGUCGGGUACGGCCAGGCUUGAGGGCGGGAGAGGGUGGUGGAAUUCCCGGUGUAGUGGUGAAAUGCGUAGAGAUCGGGAGGAACACCCAGGGGGAAACCAGCCGACUGGGCAUCGUGCUGACGCUGAGGAGCGAAAGCAUGGGGAGCGAACAGG
rnacentral:rRNA from 1 species